GUUUCCUGUGUGCGGUGUAAACUUCCGGGUCGUCGUUCCCUCAGUAGCGCACUGCUGGUUCUGCUGUUUUCGGAGGUUGUGCUGGACCGAGUUCUGCCGGCUUCGGUUCCGAGUGUGUGGCGAUGGCGGCUCUUCACCCCGGAGACCCGCAGCUGGUGUCGAUGAUCGUCAGUCACCUGAAGACGGAGGGCCUGUUCGAUCAGUUCCGCAGAGACUGUCUGGCGGAUGUGGACACAAAGCCGGCGUAUCUGCACUUGCGACAGCGAGUCGAUAACUUCGUGUCCAAUCAUCUGGCCAAUCACACCUGGAGUCCACAGCUCAACAAGAACCAGCUGAGGAACAGCAUCAGACAACUGGUCCUGCAGUCAGGUAUGCUGGAGCAGGGAGUGGACCGUAUCGUGGCUCAGGUCGUGGAUCCGAAGGUCCAUCACACGUUUCGUCCGCAGGUCGAGCGAAUCGUCCGGAGGUUUCUGUCUCCCAACAGCCACGUGGAGGAGGACGAACUUCCUGCUGUAGCUCCGCCCCUUCCUGUGGAGAACCAGGAACUGCUGACCGCAGAUGAGGGAAAUGAUGCGGCUGCGAGUUCCAGCGCUGAUGAUCAGAUCCAGACCAGCGUUUCAGACCCGACCCACGACCCCCCAGAGAACGAGAUGAUGGACAUCAGCCUCCCUGAGGAAGAGGAGGAGGAGAGCGAAGAGGUGAAGGAGGAGGAGUCUGGGAGAGAGGGAGGAGAAGCAGAAGAACAGGAGGAGAGCGGUAAAUCCUCCGGGAAGCCGAGAGAGGAGAUCCGUGAGCCGGAGCCGCUGAAACCCUGCAGUGUGAAACAGAAGACCAGAGAGCGGCUCAGAGAAGAGUACUCGCUGGAGGACUCGGAUCUGGAGGGUCUCAGUGACAUCAGCGUGAGUUCGGUUCACACCAGCGACCUGUCCUCGUUCAUCGACAGCGAAGAAGACGAGCCUCUGUGCGAGUCCACUGAGGAGGGAGAGAUCAGCUCUGAGGACGAGGCGGGGCAGAAGACGGGUGAGGACUCGGAGGGCAGGGAGAAGAAGCCGCGCGGGGUGAGACAGGGAUACGUACACAAGCCCUUCCUGUACUCGCGCUAUUACAGCGACUCUGACGACGAGGUGACGGUGGAGCAGCGCCGGCGCUCUGUGGCCAAAGAAAAGGAGGAGCGUCUCCUGAAGCGGCAGCAGAACCGAGAGCGGAUGGAGGAGAAGCGCAGGCUGAGAGCAGCGCAGAACGAGGAGCAGGACCGUAAGAGACUGGCGGAUCAGAGGCCGCGGGCCAAAGAGGCUCGUAAGGAGAAGAAGGUCCUGGAGAAGAAGGUGGCUCUGAGCAUCCAGAGGAAGAGGGACUCCAGGAAAGAGGACGACAGGAAGAAAAGUGACACUGAGGGGGAUUCAGUCAGCAAAGAUGCGAAGGCGGUGAGUCUGAAGUCAGUGCGGCGACUGUCCGAUCUGGAAGAGCAGCGCAAGAAGAAAGCAGACGGCGAGGAGAAGCUGCCUGAGAAGAACCGCGUUCACUCCUUCAUCUUGGACCUGGAGCUGGGCACCGAGGAACGCCAGAGGACGGCUGGGAGAACCGUUCGGAAAGAAAAGGAGCGCAAGGAUAAAGAGAAGGAAAAAGAGCGCCCUGAUGAACGACUCAAGCACAAACUCCGAAAGACCGGAGACGGAGACGAGAAAGAUGGAGGAAACGCGAAAGGAGCAGCUGAGGAGAAGAAGGGGUCAAAGGUCAAGCCAGAGCGGAAGAGUUCCGUCUCAUCCCGAGAGGUCAAGACGCUUGUGGCGGAAGCUGCGGAUGAGGAGAACCUGAAGAAAGGAAAGAGCGAGAAGGAGAAAGCCAAGGUGAGCGGCAAGAGUCUCCGGCGUCUGGACUCCACCGGCUCCUCAGAGGAGAGGUCAGAGGUCGAGGCGGGGUCAGAGGUCAGCCGGAAGAAAGACAAGCACCCUAAAGAGGUCCUGAAGAGGUCAAAGAGUCAUCCGGAGGGUAAACCGGGAGAGAAGCUCAAGGUGAGGAAGGAUUCGUCGUCGGACAAGAAUCAUUCGCAGAAAUCAGUCGCGGAAAACGAGAGCGACGUCCGAAAGGUGGAGGCGGGGUCAAAGGUCAGAUCCUUAUCGGAGAAACACAGGACUAAAUCCCAGAGUAGUGCAGGAAAAUCGGAUAAAAAACCCGAAGCCAAGACUAAAACGGGAAAAGAGGAAAGGAAAACCUCAGAGGAGAAAGCGAAGUUAGCGAAGAAAACAACCGAGAAGAAGCUCCCGAAGGAUCCCGAGAGGAUAUCGAGCGCCGGAGGAGAUCCCGAGUCCGUGUCCAGCACCACGGUUCACUCGAACGACCCGUACGGUGCGCUGAGCGACGUCACUCCCGAAUCCGAGGACGAGGGCGUGUCCGUCGCAGAGCCCCGCCCCCUGAGCGCCGAAGCCGACGCCCUCCUGAGCCUGAUGGACGUGUGCUCCUCCGCCUCGGAGCGCCGGGAGACCGAAGCGGAUCUGAAGAUGAAGGAGGCGGCGCUGACGCUGCUCUCCAUGGACCCCGAUCUCGCGCGCUCCUCGAGUCUCGUGUCGCAGUCUCCGGGCGACGGGACAACAGGCGCUGGAAGUGUGUCGUGUUACGCGGUGAACGAGGCCCAGGAUGCAGCUGCAUCUGUGGAGCCCAUGGAGACGGAGCCUCUGCAGGAAGUGACAUCAGAGGUGGGGGAUCAGCAGACAGAUGAAAAGGACAAAGAAAGACACUCACAAAUACUUAGAGCAGACACAGCUGAGCCAACGCAGACGCUCACUGCAGACGCAGCUGAGCCAACGCAGACCCUCACUGCAGAUGUUAAUGAGUCCACGCAGACGCUCACUGCAGACGCAGCUGAGCCAACGCAGACCCUCACUGCAGACGCAGCUGAGCCAACGCAGACCCUCACUGCAGAUGCAGCUGAGCCAACACAGACGCUCUCUACAGACGCAGCUGAGCCAACGCAGACCCUCACUGCAGAUGCAGCUGAUCCAACGCAGACCCUCACUGCAGACGCAGCUGAGCCAACACAGACCCUCACUGCAGAUGCAGCUGAUCUAACGCAGACCCUCACUGCAGACGCAGCUGAGCCAACGCAGACCCUCACUACAGAUGCAGCUGAUCUAACGCAGACCCUCACUGCAGACGCAGCUGAGCCAACGCAGACCCUCACUACAGAUGCAGCUGAUCUAACGCAGACCCUCACUGCAGACGCAGCUGAGCCAACGCAGACCCUCACUGCAGAUGCAGCUGAUCUAACGCAGACCCUCACUGCAGACGCAGCUGAGCCAACGCAGACCCUCACUACAGAUGCAGCUGAUCUAACGCAGACGCUCACUGGAGACGCAGCUGAGCCAACGCAGACCCUCACUGGAGACGCAGCUGAGCCAACGCAGACCCUCACUGGAGACGCAGCUGAGUCAAUGCAGACGGAUGAUAUUGAACCAAUGCAGACCCUCACUGCAGACACAACCGAGUCCACAGAGACGCUCACUGCAGAUGCAGCUGAGCCAAUGCAGACCCUCACUAAAGAGUCUCCUGAUUUAACCUUCACUGCAAAUGCAGCUAAGCAGAUGCAGACAGCCACUGCAGAUGCAGCCUUGUCAGUGCAGACUUUGGCUGAAGAUGCUUCCGAUCCUACGCAGAUGAUCAUUACAGACACUCCUGAGACGGUACAAACCCUCAGUGCAGACAUGGCUGAGUCCCCUGCGCAGACCCAUACUGCAGACGCAGCUGAAUCAGCGGCAACAAUCACUGCAGACGCAGCUGAAUCAACAGUCACUGCAGACGCAGCUGAAUCAACAGCAACAGUCACUGCAGACGCAGCUGAAUCAACAGCAACAGUCACUGCAGACGCAGCUGAAUCAACAGUCACUGCAGACGCAGCUGAAUCAACAACAACAGACACUGCAGACGCAGCUGAAUCACCAGUCACUGCAGACGCAGCUGAAUCAACAGCAACAGUCACUGCAGAUGUGGCAGAGCCUUCGCAGCCCCUCACUGUAGACACAAAGGAGACCGGUACAGAUGAGCCUUUGCCGACCCUCAUAGAAAAACCAGCAGAACUUGCUUCGACAUUCACUGCAAAUGCAGUUGAGCCCGCACAGACCCACAGUGCAUACACAGCUGAGCCUGCGCAGAUGCUUACAGUGGAGCCUGCGCAGACCCUCGAUGCAAAUGCAAAUGAGUCCAUGCAGACUCAUACAGUAGACACAGUUGAACCUGCGCAGACGCUCACCACAGAUACAGUUGAACCUGCGCAGACGCUCACCACAGAUGCAGUUGAACCUGCGCAGACACUCACCACAGAUACAGUUGAACCUGCGCAGACACUCACCACAGAUACAGUUGAACCUGCGCAGACGCUCACCACAGAUACAGUUGAACCUGCGCAGACACUCACCACAGAUGCAGUUGAACCUGCGCAGACACUCACCACAGAUACAGUUGAACCUGCGCAGACGCUCACCACAGAUACAGUUGAACCUGCGCAGACACUCACCACAGAUGCAGUUGAACCUGCGCAGACGCUCACCACAGAUACAGUUGAACCUGCGCAGACACUCACCACAGAUGCAGUUGAACCUGCGCAGACACUCACCACAGAUGCAGUUGAACCUGCGCAGACACUCACCACAGAUGCAGUUGAACCUGCGCAGACACUCACCACAGAUGCAGUUGAACCUGCGCAGACACUCACCACAGAUGCAGUUGAACCUGCGCAGACAGUAGCUGAGCCUGCGCAGACCGACUCUACAGACACAGGCAGCGCAUCGGUCUCAGACGAGCAGGAACAGAAGUCGUCAGACGCCUCUGAGACGGUGGAGCAGACGGAGAGCGGCACACGGAGAGGACGAUCAUCUGCUCAGAGGGCAGCAAAUCAAACCAGAGCGGAUAAUGAAAAAGAGCAAACGUCCAAUAAAGAGUGUGAUGAUGAUGAUGGUGACGAUGAUGAGGAUGAUGAAGAGCGAUCUGGAGUGAGCCGGACUCCACGCAGAGGAAGAUCCUCCAGAGCAUCUGAUGCUCCUCAGAGAGAAACACGCUCUGCUUUACAACUGAAGGAGGCGGAGCCAGCUGUGGAGGAGGAGCCAAAAGAGGGUCGCAGGAGUCGACGCUCCACAGCUCAGAUCAGAGACGCUCCCUCAGUGAAACCUGCACUGAAGCGUAAGAGAUCAUCGGAUGAGCUUCUGUGUUCCACAGCAGAACCAGAACCAGAACCAUCAGCCAAACACAGGAGAGAUGAAGCGAGUGUGUGUGAAGAUCAGGACGUGAUCAAAGCCAGCGAUGAAGACGAGGAGAAGAAAGAUGAGGAAGAUAGGAAACCUGCCCGGCGAGGCCGACCCUGCAAAGCGUCCUCCACUGAUGAGUCGGACACGGGAGCGUCAGAGAAACGAGACGGAGAGAAGGAGGACGACGAAGAGGAGACCAAAACACGAGCCACGACCCGAGCAGCGUCCCGUCUGGAGGCAGAGAAGAAUAAACCCAGCAAGCCGUCGACUCGAGCUGUGAGUAAACUCAGCGGGAAAGAGGAACACUCCCCGAACACAAGGCCGGUCAGAGGUCGCAGGGGUGACUCCAGUCCUUCGCUCUCUCGCACGCGAGGACAGAAACCUGACGAUCCGCCGGCGAAGAAAACCAAGCGAUGAACCGAACACUGCUUCUGAUCGCCUCAUGUUCAUGCUUUUUCUAGUUUUAAGGUCAGAGAGAGUGUGUGUGUGUGUGUGUGUGUGUGUGUGUGUGUGUGUGUGUGAGAGAGAGACAUCGGAGGUUAAAUAUGAAUGCCUUCAUGUGCAGCUGAUUUUACACAACAAAUAUCUGUCAACAGAGUCAGGAAAAUAAUCUUAAUUCAAUAGGAACACAAGAAAUAACUUUAAGACUUGCUUCAUUUUGAUACAUUUUUCAUAAA